AUAUUUGUUUUUUUGUUAAUUCAAAUAUAUCUUGCAAGCUGUAAACAUGCAAAAAAACAGACAAACCCUGUAACAAAAGAUGGCGUUAACCGAGGAUUGCGCAAAAAAAAGUUAAAUAAGGAUGGUAUUACUAUUAAUACUGCGGACUUAACUGGUGAUAUAGUGGAUAAGAUUGAAGAAACAAAAGAUGAAAAAGUAGAUGAAAAAGUAGAUGAAAAAGUAGAUGAAAAAGUAGAUGAAAAAGUUGAUGAAAAAGUAGAUGAAAAAGUAGAUGAAAAAGUUGAUGAAAAAGUAGAUGAAAAAGUAGAUGAAAAAGUAGAUGAAAAAGUUGAUGAAAAAGUAGAUGAAAAAGUUGAUGAAAAAGUUGAUGAAAAAGUAGAUGAAAAAGUUGAUGAAAAAGUUGAUGAAAAAUUUGAUGAAAAAGUUGAUGAAAAAUUUGAUGAAACAGUAGAUGCAGAACUAGAAGACUAUAAAAGAAUACUAGAGGAGGGUACACAAGAGCUGGAAGAGAUAGAAAAAGAUGUCACAUAUGAAGAAUGUGAAACAAUAACAUAUGAAAUUAUAAAAGAGUUAGAUAAAGAAACAACGGAUGAACACUAUGAAAAAAUACCAGAAGAAGUUAUAAAAGAAUUAGAAAAAGAAACAACAAAUGACAAAUAUGAAAACAUACCAGAGGUUGUAAAAAAAGAAGAUGAAAAAGCUGAAAUAUUCGAAGAUAAUAUAAAAAAACAAGAUGUUAUAAAUAUGAUUGAUGUGGCAAUAAAUGCGGCAAAAUUUGCUCAUGAAAUGGUUAAAGAAGCAUAUCAAAGUAAAAGUGAGACUAAUCUUAAAGCGGCUAUUAUAGCUGCAUUAAAAGCUAAAUUGCAUCAAAUAAAAGCUGAAAAUGCAAAAAAAGUGGUAGAGCAAAAAGCAGAAAUAAAUUCUUUUACCGAACACGAAAUUAAAAAAGCUCAAGAUGCAGCAGAAUGCGCAAAAGAAUCUGCUUAUUAUGCAAAUGCAAUAGCUAAAGAAGUUCGAAACACAGUAAUUAAUAAGGUUAAUAAAUUAAUAGAUAUUAGUAAGUUAAACAUACAACAUAUUCAUGAUACUCUUAACAUAACUAAAAUUGCUUUUGACAAAUUAAAAGAUGUUACACAAGAGAAAAACAUUAUAGAAGCAAAGAAAGGAGCAAUUUGCAUUAUUAGCAUAUUAUGCAUUCUGGUUAAACAGUUAUUCGGUGCAUAUCAUGCAGCAUAUAGUGCUUUAGAUAUUGCAAAAAAUGCGACCUAUCAUGAAUUAAU
rnacentral:lncRNA from 1 species